AUACGGAGGGUGCAAGCGUUACUCGGAAUCACUGGGCGUAAAGCGCGCGCAGGCGGUCUUUUACGUUGGAUGUGAAAGCCUACGGCUCAACCGUAGAACUGCAUCCAAAACUAUUAGACUAGAGUGUGGGAGAGGAAGAUGGAAUUAGUUGUGUAGGGGUAAAAUCCGUAGAGAUAACUAGGAAUACCAAAAGCGAAGGCAAUCUUCUGGAACACUACUGACGCUGAGGCGCGAAAGCGAGGGGAGCAAACAGGAUUAGAUACCCUAGUAGUCC
rnacentral:rRNA from 1 species